UUUAUUUUAUUUUUUAAGAAAACAGAGUUUCUUCUCAAUGGGGGGGGGGGGAUCAAAGUUUUUUCUUUCCAAAGAUUCAGAGUCGUUUCCAGUGUCACUGGGAGCAAGGGUGGAUCUUCGGUGGGCAUGUCAGCCCAACGUCUCAGUGAUACCCUCCUGCUGCUCCUGUCCGUGAGGCACAUGGGAAGUUCAGGGGAUGGCUGCUGGUACCGAAGUGCCGUAUGAGAAAGGAGCGGCUUUGUUUCAGCCGUUCCCGCACGUUAGCAUGAGGAGGGAGGCCUGAUGGGAAAGAAAUACGUACCGGUAACUCAAGGCUUUUCUGGUGGAGUGUGAGCUGAGCGAGACCUGCGGAAAAGCCCCUUAACUGGGCUGCUCCAAAGGCGCCAGACUUCCCAGGACUCUCUUAACAGAAGCUCCUCGGGAACUUCAGAUAUCUUGGCUCAAGCUGCCAGGCACGGAGCGUCCACUAACACUGAAGAGCGAAAGCCUAUUUGCACAGAGCUGCCAGAAUGCUACUGCUGAAACGAAGGUCCGAUCACGCGGUCUCCCUGUUCAAAACCUGCCAGUGAAUUCCUGUGUGACCCAGAGUGAGAGCCGAAGACCCGCAGUGGUCUCACACGACCUGGCCCUCUUCCUGGUCAGCUGUAUGAGGACCACACCUUCUACCCCUUCCUCUGUGGCUCACUCCACAACAGCCACACCGGCCUCCACGCUGUGCCCUUGGACAAGGCUGCUCUAACUCCACAUCCCAUCGUGGCCCCCUCCCUCACUUCCUGCAGGCUUUUAUAUAAAGCUAGCUUCUCCAUGAGGGCAUCCUGCACCACCCUGCCUAACAUCUCAACCACUCAAUCACUCACAUCCCCAUUCCUGCUUCCUUUGUUUGUUUCACACUUAUCACCAAUGGACUACAUAUUGUACUUAUUUAUCUUGUUUGUCUCCCCUCUCUAGAAUCUACUCUCCAUGGAGCCGGGGAUUUUGGUCUCUUCAUUCUCUUGUACUCCCAGUGCCUAACGCAUAGUGGGUAUACCGUCAAUAUUUGUUGAAUGAGUGAAUGAGUUUGUAACAGAUACCUGCUUUGCUCCACUCAUGAUGUCCUCCAUCUCACAUGAGAGCAUCCUUUACAGACACUUAACUUUUCUUCACAUGACCAUGUGUGCCUUUAUCAGGUAGCACAGGACUUCCUCCAAGUUUUCCACACCUCUCUCCAGGCUUUCUUCUAGAUCUUCAUGACCACUUCUGGGUCACAUGACAAUCCCUACUUCAGUCACUGGCAGAAAGAAAUGGGACCACCACGGCUGUCAUUGUUCAAUCAGGAUUUAACCCCUGUACCUGCGCAGAUGGCUGCUGGAAUGAAAUUGGAGUAACAGGAAGACUGUGGUGAUUUUACAUAGGAAAAUAAGUGCCAGAUCCAUGAAUUGCAGUUUCAUGUCUGUGAUCACAUUUAAGCUUCAACAUCCUUAUGAGGAAGGAUAGGCAAGUACCCUGACCAUUUUCACAGAAGAGGAAACAAAGACCCAGAGAGGUUCCCAACAUGCCAAGGACAUGCAGUAGGUCAGAGGCAGGCUGGGCAUGGUCUGCCUGGGUUCUGGGUUCUGCAGAAGCAAGAUGGUUUGGAGAGACCCAGAAUUUUAUUUCACUCCACACAAAAAACUAUACGACCUCAAACAGCUGUUUUGAUCCCUCAGGGUCUCAGUUUCUUCGUCUAUAAAAUGGAGAUCACAUCCCUUUCUUGUUCCAGAACUCUGUGUGGGCUGAUUAAUCAUUAAGGUCUCUUCUUAUCUAUUAAACUCCAGCUCAGGCAGAGAAACAGGAGUGAGUGAUUGGACUUUGAACCUGGCAGAGCCAGAAGAGAAGAAUUAGGUUUCUUUGUAAUGAUGUAUUUUUUUAAAAAACCCUUUUGUUCUGAAAAUAAAUACAUAUGAGUGAACUUUUUAAACCUGAGUCUGUUCCCAGGGACUCUCCCUUGCAUUGCAUCUCUAAAUGCUUCAAGUUCCGGCUUUGACAUUGGAGGAAGCUGUGUUCCUCAGCGGGUUGUCUGGUCCCCAUUUAGAGACCAAGUCCCUGAGAAUCCGGAGUUGGGAUUUUCCUCUGCGGAACUCCUUCAUGGGGCCCGUUGCAUGGGCCUUUGUAGCCUGAUGAUGCUUUGCUGGGCCAGGGUCCCGGUGCCUGCCAUUGCCAGGCUGCCACCAUUCUAAAUUCUGCUUCGGGCUUCUCAUUCCCGUGCAUAAUUCCCAAUGUGACGCCUGCCCUAGAGAUUCAAGUGUUUCUGCAAAAGGAAUGGCUUUAUGGGAAGAAAAUGAUUACUUAAUAAUUUACUGAACAUUGUGUUUCAAGUUCUAUACCCAUAUAAUGCAUUUUCCAAUCUUCUAAUUUUAUAGAUCUACAUCUUUUCCCUUUCAGCAAUGUCAAAAUUAAUAUUUCAUAAUUCCGUCCUUUUGUAUAGAAAUUUAAGGUGUUCCACAUAUUAUCUUGUGUGACUUUACAAUUAAGAAAAAUUAUGUAACUUGCACAAAGUUGUUUAGCUGGUUAAGAACAGAGUUGAGACUGGACCCUAGGGCUGCCAGGCUGCCUCAGAAGUGUCACACCCAGUGACACAAUUUUCAGACUUCCAAAAUUGACAUUUAUUUGUACCUUCAAUCACCCACUGUCAGAAUUUUAAGGUUUAUCAUUUCUGAAAAACAUGGAUAGGGAAUUUUACCUGCAGAAAGCUGCUUCUAAAUUUAUUACUUAAGCCAGGGAUUGGCAAAUUUUUUCUGUAAAGGGCUGGAUAGUAAAUAUUUUAGGCUUUGUGGUUCAGAUAAUUCCCAUUGCAACAACUCAUCUCUGCCGUUGUAGUGAGAAGGCAGCACAAUGUGUAAACAAAUCAGCGUGGCUGUGUUUCAAUAAAACUUUACGAGAACAGGUGGUAGGCUGCAUUUGGCCCAUGUGCUAUUGUUUGCUGACCUCUGACUGAGGCUGUGGUGCUAUUAAGAUUAUGCACUCUUUUACAUGACACUUUAAAAGGCAUCAGUAAAAUUAUUUGUCUCUGAUUUUCUUAGUCAAAUAGGAAGGUGAAAUUUGUUUCACGAAAUAUUUAUCCUGGUACUUCAGAAAAGUCUCUACACAUUUACCUCGCCGAAAUAUUUCACAAACUUGACGAAAUGUCACAGGCUCAAAGAAUGUUAGCAUACAGGGAUAUCUGAGAUAAUUCAAUCUAAGACCCUCAUUGUAUAGGUGGGGAAACAAAGGAAGUUUUUCAACUUUUCAUCCAAAAGAAGUACAAGUUUGAAUUUAGAAGACCAAUGAUUGAUGAGCUAGAGCUUAAUGUGUAGUUGAAAUAUUGAUAUUUCUUUGCUGAAGCGUAAACUGUAUUAUAUAUCUAAAGAACUACACAUUUGCAGCAACAUAGAUGGACCUGGAGAUAUUCA